GGAAAAGAAAAAAAGGCUAAUAUAGCCAUAAAGAAUGCUUUUAAAUCAAGUAAUACACUUGACUUAGAAAGACAAGCCAGCGGCAAUUAUAAAAUAAUGACACCUAAGAAUGUUUUCAAGAAGUCUGGUUCAUAAUGCAUUCAAACUUAAAAAAAUAUUAAAGACAACUAAAAAAAUUUUGCUCAUUUUUGGAGCAAAAAAACUACCAAAGAAGGAGCAGCUUGAGGGAAUAUUAAUGGAUUAUGAGAAGAAAAUGAAACUGAACUAUUUUGCGUUAUCCUACAAGAUGAAUGAUUAUAGAGUACAAUAGACUGACUAACCAGGAGUUGAAAGCCAGAUCAUAAGAUAUUUGAAGAGACACAGUAACCUCUCAAAAUGAGGCCAAUUUUCUUAGAUCAGAGAUCUCCCUUGCAUCCAAAAACCUGGCAUACAGUUUGGGUAUCCCUUCUCCAAGAUAUGUGGGGCCAGAAAAUUUUCAGAUUUUGGAAUAUUUGCAUAUAUAUAAUGAGAUAUCAUGGGAUCAGACCCAAGUCUAAACACAAGAAUUCAUUUAUAUUUCAUAUACACCUUGUCCACGUAGCUUGAAGGCUUUUCACUUGAGUGCUGUACAUGUGUGUCCUUCAGGUACUGAUGAAGCCUCUACAGAGCUCUCUUCUCAGCCUUGCUCUGCCAUUUCUGCUGCUACUGCAGCAGUGACACUGGAAUCCCUGAAGCAUCAAAUCUUGAAUUGGAGGAAAGUACUUCUUUCCAUAUUUUGUAAUAUGUCCUACUAAAGGAUAGCAAAGCAGAGUUGUUUGCUCCCAUCUUAGAAACUUUUAAAUAAAAUUUAGGUAUUACUUUUAAACAUAGGUCCACAGAGAAGACAAAUCUAAGUGGCAAAAAUAAUGUGUAUUCAGCGUCACUAUUCCCCAAGGAUGACAAAUGUAUGUUUUUUGCUGUAAUAUCUCCCAGUUGACUCCAUCUUCUCUUCUAUUGAAUUUUCAACCAGAGAGCUUCUUAGUUCCUUAUUCAAAUACAGUUUUGGUAGACCUAACCAGUAUUAUAUGUGCCUGAUCUAUCUAAAUCUAAUCAAGUUUGGUUUAAAUGAAAUCAAGUGUACUCACAGCCUCUCAUACCUAUUCCAUUUUUACUUUU
rnacentral:lncRNA from 1 species